rnacentral:rRNA from 1 species
AUUGAACGCUGGCGGCAUGCUUUACACAUGCAAGUCGAACGGUAACAGGCCGCAAGGUGCUGACGAGUGGCGAACGGGUGAGUAAUGCAUCGGAACGUGCCCAGUCGUGGGGGAUAACGCAGCGAGAGCUGCGCUAAUACCGCAUACGAUCUAUGGAUGAAAGCGGGGGACCGUAAGGCCUCGCGCGAUUGGAGCGGCCGAUGUCAGAUUAGGUAGUUGGUGGGGUAAAGGCUCACCAAGCCAACGAUCUGUAGCUGGUCUGAGAGGACGACCAGACACACUGGGACUGAGACACGGCCCAGACUCCUACGGGAGGCAGCAGUGGGGAAUUUUGGACAAUGGGCGCAAGCCUGAUCCAGCAAUGCCGCGUGCAGGAAGAAGGCCUUCGGGUUGUAAACUGCUUUUGUACGGAACGAAACGGCUCUGGUUAAUACCUGGGGCUAAUGACGGUACCGUAAGAAUAAGCACCGGCUAACUACGUGCCAGCAGCCGCAGUAACAC